rnacentral:rRNA from 1 species
UACGUAGGGGGCAAGCGUUGUCCGGAUUUACUGGGCGUAAAGCGCGCGUAGGUGGAACGAUCAGUCCGGUCUGAAAGCCCCCGGCUCAACCGGGGAGGGUGGCUGGAAACUGUCGUUCUUGAGGGCGAGAGAGGAGGGUGGAAUUCCUGGUGUAGCGGUGAAAUGCGCAGAUAUCAGGAGGAACACCAAUUGCGAAGGCAGCUCGCUGGGACGUUACUGACGCUGGAGACGCGAAAGCGUGGGGAGCAAACAGG